AACGAACGCUGGCGGCGUGGCUAAGACAUGCAAGUCGAACGGACCUUACAAUUGAGUAAUCGAGAGUUUGGUUAGUGGCGAAAGGGUUAGUAAUGGAUAGAUGACGUAUCCUGUGCUUUGGGAUAGCGUCAGUAGCUUCGGCUACUUUCCGAAAGGGGCGGUAAUACCAAAUAAUAUCAUAUGUCGUAGGGCAUAUGAUCAAAGAUUUAUCGGCGUAGGCGCGGUCUAUCUCCUAUCAGCUUAUUGGUGAGGUAAAAGCUCACCAAGGCUAUGACGGGUAGCGGGACUGAGAGGUUGGCCCGCAACAUCGGGACUGAGACACUGCCCGGACCUCCACGGAGGGCUGCAGUAACGAAUAUUGUGCAAUGGGCGAAAGCCUGACACAGCGACGCCGCGUGUAGGAGGAAGUCUUUCGGGAUGUAAACUACUGUCAGGGGUAAGAAAGUGCGCUUCGGCGUAUUGAUCGAACCCAGAGGAAGUCACGCUAACUU
rnacentral:rRNA from 1 species